CCUGGAGAAGCUCAUUAGGCGAGCGUCCGGCUCUUAACCGGUUGGGAGCAGGUUCGAAUCCUGCCUCCGGGU
rnacentral:tRNA from 1 species